UAGUACCCAUCAGGUGACAGAUGAGUGU
rnacentral:piRNA from 1 species